rnacentral:tRNA from 1 species
GGGGCUGUAGCUCAGCUGGGAGAGCGCUUGAAUGGCAUUCAAGAGGCCAGCGGUUCGAUCCCGCUCAGCUCCACCA